GCUUUGCUACCUUAGGGUUGCGGAGGGUAGGAAGCGCAAGAAGGCCUGGGGACGGAGCUGGGGGACCCCGAGAAUGUCCCGAACGCAGCACCUCGUCUAAAGCGGCGGGCACCGAAGCGGUUCUGAGGAAAAAUCAAUCUCAAAAUACUAGUAUAAGAAGAAGCUUGUUCCUCCAUCCUCCAUGAAAAUAAAUGUGUUUAAUAAACACCAACAAGAUAGAGAAUAGAUAGAGAACUGGUCAAGUCCAAGAUCCUUGGGAUGGAGAAAUUGGAAAAUGCAGGUACCAAAAAAAAGCCAUCAGAGUUUAAAAUGUCAAAGGGGACUGGGAUAAGAAAGUAAUUCAAGAAAUUACUGUUAUAUAUGAUGAGAGACUGAAGAUACAGACAAUGACUGGAUUAUACUUGAUGUGAUCAUAAAAUAUGCUUGUAUAUAUUUGACAACAGGACUCAGCCCAGGAAGCCAAACCACCACCUCUUCAGCGAUUAGCCUAGAAGAACUGGAUUUGCUCUGUCAUUGCCAGCUUCCCUAAUUUGUGCCCUUCUAACUCAGGACCAACCAGAGAAAGCCAAAUAUAUUCUCAAAUCAAUCAUAUAAAAUGCCCUGCUUCUACUUAUCUCACCACUAGCAUUUCCAUGUCAAUAGUCUUUAAAUAUGCCUGCCUGCCUGCCUGUUUCUCUGUUUCUCUCUCUCUCAUCACUCUGUAGUCCAGGCUCGUUUGAGACCUCCUAUGUAUCAUCUCAGGUGGCCUGGAAAUUCAAAUUCCCACCUCACUUCCCAAGCACUGGUAUUGUAGAUGUGUGACAUCAUGCCUGGCUUUUUUUUUUUUAAACUCUAAAGUCUCCCCUCUCCUCUGUCUUUGAGUUUCUGCAAAUACAAGUGAUUAUGACUCUCCUUUCCUGUCCCAAGUUCUACAAAAGUAGCCUCUAUUUGUUUCCAUUCAGGUAGUCAUCACUCAUUUCCAUAAUGGCAAGAAAAAGUUCCUAAAAGGAGCAAACCUGACAGUGAUAAUAGAAUAACUGCUUUGUCAGCUGUCUCAGAAACCCCAUUGAUCAAGUCGUUUGUUGAGCUGAUAUGGAUUAUGCCAGCACUAACAUAGAUUGUAUAUAUCUUGGGCAGACAUGUGUAAGAAGGAAAUUACAUGGCUGAAGCCUUAGGAGCUGAAAGUUCAAAUCUU